UGAUAUGAAGAACUUGUUCAGAUUUGAUUUUCAACAUUGCAAUGAGUGGCGAACGGGUGAGCAACACGUGGGAAACCUACCUCUUAGCAGGGGAUAACAUUUGGAAACAAAUGCUAAUACCGUAUAAUAAUUAAAACCGCAUGGUUUUAGUUUAAAAGAUGGUCUUGCUAUCACUAAGAGAUGGUCCCGCGGUGUAUUAGUUAGUUGGUGAGGUAAUGGCUCACCAAGACAAUGAUACAUAGCCGAGUUGAGAGACUGACCGGCCACAAUGGGACUGAGACACGGCCCAUACUCCUACGGGAGGCAGCAGUAGGGAAUCUUCCACAAUGGACGAAAGUCUGAUGGAGCAACGCCGCGUGUGUGAUGAAGGGUUUCGGCUCGUAAAACACUGUUGUAAGAGAAGAAUGACAUUGAGAGUAACUGUUCAAUGUGUGACGGUAUCUUACCAGAAAGGAACGGCUAAAUACGUGCCAGCAGCCGCGGUAAUACGUAUGUUUCAAGCGUUAUCCGGAUUUAUUGGGCGUAAAGCCAGCGCAGACGGUUAUUUAAGUCUGAAGUGAAA
rnacentral:rRNA from 1 species